GAGGAAGCUGCUGCGUCCCUCGCUCGUCUGCAAGUGGCGUAGCCAGAGCCUGCCCGAGUCCCUGCAGAGGUUGGGAGGGAAGAAGAUGGCGAUGCCCUUUGCCAUUUCCUCCAUGUAGUCUCCGUCGUCGUCUCCAUCUCCAUAGCCAGAUCGAGCUCAGAUCACAGUGUGACAGCGUACCCUGUAGCACACUCGCCAUCGAUCGAGGCAGCCCCUGCAGGGUGGAGACGACGGCGCCUUUCACCAGCACGACAGGGGAAGAGGGAGACUAGAGAUGCUGAUCGAAGAAUGAAGGGCUGAGAUGACUCAUGUGCUUCUCCAGUUCUUUGAUCCUGUCAAGUUACCUACCUGGCUUGCUCCGAAAAAUCAGUGAGAUUAUGGACUUGUGAUUUUGAUUUUUGGUAUUCAGCAUAUGACUGAUUCUCGAGCAUGUUUUGGUAUAUAUUUCUGCUUCCCAAAUUUUUGAAAACAACCAUACGAAUAGUCUUGAAUUCCUGGUUCAGUUCGUUUGAGUACAUUAUUGAAGGAAUACAUUUUUGUUUUAUCGAUGAUGCAACUCUUCUCAAACAAAUACACUGAGGAAUGGUCAUGCUGGAAUCCAUUUGUCCUAUUGUUUCUUUCUAUAUGCUCGGUUCUCAGACCUGACAGUCUUUUGUACUUUACUUCUUGUGUGUUCUGAGGCAUACGUGUACUGUGCACAAUGUUCCUAUGAAAAUUUCCCCUUUUCCUUUUUAAAUGAAACUUUCAUGCAUUUGGGAUUUAUGCCGCAAAUGGCAAAACUCAUAGCAUAACUGCAUAAGCAUGGUUUUUAUUCCUCUGCUAGAUUAUUUGAACCAAGAAAUCCUGUUAAUGAUGUCUGCAUUUUUUUUCACUCAUUUCUUUCAUCGAUUGUUUUCCAGUACAAUUCAUUCUAAGUUACAUUUCAAGGAUUAGUCAUUGUCUCCUGUGGGUAUAUCAUAUACUCGGCAAGCUAGCAGAAUAGUACUACCUCCGGUCAGAUAUAGAUGACGUUUCAAAUAACAUAAGGUAAUUAACUCUCUAAAAUGAUCGACGCCAUCUAAUUUUUACCAGAUGGGAAUACCUGUCAAGAGCUGCUUCUAGCUAGCCCAGAAGGAAUUCUUCAAAAGUCAAGUGAUCACUUGUUUUUUGAAAAGUAGAGUAUUUCUGGUGCCCCGUACACUUAUAUAUAAGGCCUGAAGUGAUCAAGCAGUAAAUUAGCUAAUUGACAGCCGGAAGCAAUGGGUCAUGAAGUAUCUAUAUAUCGCUAAUUAUUUCUGUUUGAUCACUAGAAUGUAGUAGAGACCAGAUGUAUGCUGGCCUGCACUGCGCAUUGUUCAUAUAUAGAGCAGUCCUACUGAGCUGAUUAGAUGCAAUUUUGGCGUUGGCAUUCAUUUUGUACAUUUUUUCUCUUCCCCUAUUUUAGGAGUAGAUGUUCUUUUGCCUUUCCUUGAAUUGUUGCUUCAAUAGUUGUUAUCAGGAGUAGGCAUAGUACCAUCGAUUUGUUGUCGCCAAAUGUCAAUGGUGAUGAAGAGCAAGGAGGGAUUACCAUCAGAUCACUAACUGCAUGUCGUUUUUGUUCUAGAAAUCAAUCUGGGUGGCAACCGAUUCUUGCACCAGCC